rnacentral:tRNA from 6 species
GCGCCCAUCGUCUAGAGGUUAGGACGCCGCCCUUUCACGGCGGAAACAGGGGUUCAAUUCCCCUUGGGCGUACCA